GAUGAACGCUGGCGGCGUGCCUAAUACAUGCAAGUCGAGCGAACAGACGAGGAGCUUGCUCCUCUGACGUUAGCGGCGGACGGGUGAGUAACACGUGGAUAACCUACCUAUAAGACUGGGAUAACUUCGGGAAACCGGAGCUAAUACCGGAUAAUAUAUUGAACCGCAUGGUUCAAUAGUGAAAGACGGUUUUGCUGUCACUUAUAGAUGGAUCCGCGCCGCAUUAGCUAGUUGGUAAGGUAACGGCUUACCAAGGCAACGAUGCGUAGCCGACCUGAGAGGGUGAUCGGCCACACUGGAACUGAGACACGGACCAGACUCCUACGGGAGGCAGCAGUAGGGAAUCUUACGCAAUGGGCGAAAGCCUGACGGAGCAACGCCGCGUGAGUGAUGAAGGUCUUCGGAUCGUAAAACUCUGUUAUUAGGGAAGAACAAAUGUGUAAGUAACUAUGCACGUCUUGACGGUACCUAAUCAGAAAGCCACGGCUAACUACGUG
rnacentral:rRNA from 1 species